UUGCCACUAAUACCACUUUCAUGAUACCACUUUUCAAAACUACACUAACCAACUUUACCAUUAAAAUUUUAUAAGAUAAAGUACUAUCCUACCCCUGAUUUAUUAAAUCAAACAUAUCCUCAUCAUCGAUCUCUAUUCUUCUUUGUCGGACAAGUUAUUGAAGUUUAUGGCGACUCCGACGACGAGAAUUGACGACUCCAACGACGAGAAUCGGCGACACUAACGUCCGACGAGAUCUGGUGCUCAUCGCCACUCUGAGAUCGUCUCGUUUAAUCUUCACUACACCUGAAAAGAGAAGCCUCAUCGUGAAAUCAACCGUCGGGGAGGUCUCCUUUCGCGAACCGGAGACAUCGGGAGAUAGCAAAGGAAUCAAAUCGCUGAAACUCAAGUUGCUGAGUGUGGUUUCGGGGUUAAACAGAGGACUCGUGGUCGAUUCAUAUGAUUCUGCGAAGAAGAAACAUCUGGUUAUCUACGAUGAUGGAGAUCAAGAAAUCUUGAAUCUUAAGACACAGAAGUGGCAUUUUCUGGAUGAAUCAGAAACAGAG